rnacentral:rRNA from 1 species
AUUGAACGCUGGCGGCAGGCCUAACACAUGCAAGUCGAGCGAGCGGCGGACGGGUGAGUAAUGUAUGGGGACUGCCCGAUAGAGGGGGAUAACUACUGGAAACGGUGGCUAAUACCGCAUACUAUCGGAUAACCCAUAUGGGAUUAGCUAGUGGGUGGGGUAACGGCUCACCUAGGCGACGAUCCCUAGCUGGUCUGAGAGGAUGAUCAGCCACACUGGGACUGAGACACGGCCCAGACUCCUACGGAGGCAGCAGUGGGGAAUCUUGCACAAUGGGCGAAAGCCUGAUGCAGCCAUGCCGCGUGUAUGAAGAAGGCCUUCGGAUUGUAAAGUACUUUCAGCGGGGAGGCGUUACCUGCAGAAGAAGCACCGGCUAACUCCGUGCCAGCAGCCGCGGUAAUUC